AUGCAACAGGUUAGUCAGAGGCCUGGCAAUCUUGGAGAAGUUCUCGCCAAAUCGACGACAAUAGCUGGCGAGUCUGAGAAAACUUCUGACUUGCUUGACAUUCUUCAGAGGAGCCCAAUCGAGAAUUGCCUGGACUCGUUCAGGGUUGACGGCAAUACCAUCCUUGGAGAUGACAUGCCCGAGAUAGGUUACUUCGGGAAGCCGGAAUUCACACUUGGAAUACUUAGCGUAGAGUUGAUGCUCUCAAAGCUUUUUCAGCACAAGACGAAGAUGCUCAGCAUGUUCUUCUUUGUUCUUGGAAAAUACAAGGAUGUCAUCCAGAUAAACCACGACGAACUUGUCGAGGUAAUCCAUGAAUAUAUAGUUUAUCAGACGAGAGAAGGUGGCUGGAGCAUUCGUUAA
rnacentral:rRNA from 1 species